GCGAGCUGGCCUGGGCUUUCGUUACUGCCUCCCCUGCUCAUGAUGGGUAUUUACAUAUCCUUAGACCCUCAGCUAGAACAAGCUGCACCUGAGAUCAGUCUCCAGUGGCGUUUUGGUCCGGGAAAGGCCCUGACCUGUGGCCACACAUUAUGUAACCAUGCCACGUGAAGUGCAUUAGGUGAUCACUCACAUGAGUCUGUGCCUGGCUUAGAGACACUGUUGUCUACAAAAGGUAUAAUUACCCUGCUAGCGGCUAUACAUAGGGCUUGUGCCCAGAAAGAGGAUAAAGCCAUAUCAAAACUCCCUACGAUUCCUGUAGUGUUUUUCCAGCUACUCCCCCACCGACUCCCCUCGGACCUCAGUUUGGGAUAGAACCUGACAAUUGGUGUCAUGAACAGGAUCCUGAGAUUUAGAAGCAGUGGCGUCCCUCUUGCGGCAACAUUUAGCAGCAUGUGGUUGGGCCGUCAACGAAUCCAAGGUCCAAGGUCCUGGAUUAUCUGCCAGAUUCUUGGGAGUUAUCUGGUCAGGCUCCAGUUAGUAGUUGCUGCCUAGGAGAUGAAGUGAAUUUCACAAGAAAGACAUAAGAAGCCAACAACUGAUUUGGAAUGAUCUGAGAGACUGACACAAAAAUGCUAUUACCCCUGUAUGCACACAAGUUGAACCUAACGGCAUUAAAAGAAAAGUUGGAGACAUCCCAUCUACACAACACAGCCCAAAUGAUCAGCUGCAUUCCUGCAGAGCCAUCUCUUCAGUAUAUACAAAUGAAGGAGAUGAGCAGUAUUAUUUUAUUACCACAUUCACAAAAGGGACAAGCUGUGAAAUGCCUAGAUUCCAGAGCAACAGACUGUGAUCCAUUCCCAACAACCCCUCCCUACCGUCUGCCACCAGUUCCCUUAAAGCAGGAAUCAGAGCUAGACUGACUCAACUAAGAAUUGUUUUGGAGAACUUGGAACUCAACAUUCCAUAAAGCAAGAAGCUUGACAUAGCAUCGAUGAGCCCAAGUCAACUAUAUGAACAAAACAAUGUCUCAGGAGGGGCAGGGUAUCACGUCAGAAGAAUCCUGAGUCCUUAGAUGACCUUGUAGAAAAGAGCCACAAACUUACUCUGGGCUACCUUCAUACCUCUGAACUAUUAUGCAGAGAGAAAUAAAUGUAUUCAAAUCACUGUUUUUUGGGUUUCUUCAUUCAUGUAGCUUAGCCUAUAACCUAAGUAA
rnacentral:lncRNA from 1 species